rnacentral:lncRNA from 1 species
UUCACGUUUCAUCAUUAUUUUCUCAGAUCUAUAAAUAAAACAAAAAAAAUCAAUUACAAAUAUCAUAACAAGAGGAAGAGAAAGAGAGUGUGUAAUAAGAGGAAGGGAGACAAGAUAUUGACCAUAAACAAACAAAGGUUUGAGCAUUGAAACUGAUGUUGAACCAGAUCAGAGGGGAGGAGCAGAGGGAGAGAGAAAAACCAGAUUUGCUUAGCUCUGAUACCACCGUCGCCUCAGAGACACGUUGCCUCUUCCUCUGCCAUCUUUAGCUCUGGUUAGCCAUGAGAUUCAAAUUUGUUUAGAUCUGAGUUUUUUCUUAAAUAAACAGAGAACAAGAAGAGAUGAAACACCAAGAUGAAAUAUAUAAAAUUCGAAAAACAAGAAGAGGAAAUCAUGUAAAAUCAGAGAUUGAAAACUAAUUGAAACAAUGUUAAGAAGAUGAAAGAACGAGUGAUAGAAAGAUAAACACUAAACAGGUGAAAACUCUUGUUUACUGCAAAACGUCUUUUCAGAAUUAAUGCACAAACGUGUUUGUGUUAGACUAUUUUCUUUCUAUAUGUGACCGGCUACAUAGGAACAACUUCGCCAUUAUAAAAAAUUGAAUAGUACGAUGUCCAUCUGCCUAAUUAAAUAAGUUUUAUAGUUAUCUACUGCAAUUUCCCUUAAAUUAAUCUAUUUUUUAUCGAUAACAAUAUUUUCUACAUCCGCUCAG